rnacentral:rRNA from 1 species
UACGGGGGGAGCAAGCGUUGUUCGGAUUUACUGGGCGUAAAGGGCGCGUAGGCGGUCAGCACAAGUCAGUUGUGAAAUCUCCGGGCUUAACUCGGAAAGGUCAACUGAUACUGUGCGACUAGAGUGCGGAAGGGGCAACUGGAAUUCUCGGUGUAGCGGUGAAAUGCGUAGAUAUCGAGAGGAACACCUGCGGCGAAGGCGGGUUGCUGGGCCGACACUGACGCUGAAGUGCGAAAGCUAGGGGAGCGAACGGG